rnacentral:rRNA from 1 species
GACGUAGGGCGCGAGCGUUGUCCGGAUUUAUUGGGCGUAAAGAGCUCGUAGGCGGCUUGUCGCGUCGACUGUGAAAACCCGAGGCUCAACUUCGGGCUUGCAGUCGAUACGGGCGAGCUAGAGUUCGGUAGGGGAGACUGGAAUUCCUGGUGUAGCGGUGAAAUGCGCAGAUAUCAGGAGGAACACCGGUGGCGAAGGCGGUUCUCUGGGAAUAUCCUGACGCUGAGGAGCGAAAGUGUGGGGAGCGAACAGG